rnacentral:rRNA from 1 species
AGAAUCCUGUCCACCGAAUGUCUAAGGUUUCCUGGGGAAGGCUCGUCCGCCCAGGGUUAGUCGGGACCUAAUCCGAGUCCGACAGGCGUAGGCGAUGGAUAAGAGGUUGAUAUUCCUGUACCCGUUGUUUUUGUUUGAGCAAUGGAGGGACGCAGGAGGCUAAGGAAUGCAGACGAUCUGAAAUGUCUGUCCAAGCAGUAAGUCUGAAGAGGAGUCAAAUGCUUCUUUUCUUAAGGACAAGCUGUGAUGGGG